UCGGGCGCGGCGCAGCUGGUCGUCGGCCACCCGUUCGACACCAUCAAGGUGAAGCUGCAGAGCCAGCCCACGCCGCCGCCCGGCCAGCCGCCCAAGUUCGCCGGCGCCAUGGACGCCGUCAAGCAGACCAUCUCAGCCGAGGGCCCCCGGGGCCUUUACAAGGGCAUGGGCGCCCCGCUCGCCACCGUCGCCGCCUUCAACGCCGUGCUCUUCACCGUCCGGGGCCAGACGGAGGCCCUGCUGCGCUCCGAGCCCGGCGCCGCGCUCACCGUCGGCCAGCAGGUCGUCGCCGGCGCUGGGGCCGGCGUCGCCGUCUCCUUCCUCGCCUGCCCCACUGAGCUCAUCAAGUGCAGGCUGCAGGCGCAGAGCGCGCUGGCCACAGCCGCUCCUGCCGCCGCCGCCGCUCCCGCGGGCGGCGCGGCUGCCACCGUCACCGCCACGGCCAAUGCUGCCGCGGUCAAGUACGGCGGGUCGCUGGACGUGGCGAGGCACGUGCUGCGGUCGGAUGGCAGCAGCGCGGCGGCGGGCGCGUAG
rnacentral:rRNA from 1 species